UGGGGAAUCUUGGACAAUGGGGGCAACCCUGAUCCAGCGACGCCGCGUGGGUGAAGAAGGCCUUAGGGUUGUAAACCCCUUUCGCCGGGGAAGAUGAUGACGGUACCCGGAGAAGAAGCACCGGCUAACUCCGUGCCAGCAGCCGCGGUAAGACGGAGGGUGCUAGCGUUGUUCGGAAUCACUGGGCGUAAAGGGCGCGUAGGCGGCCUGGACAGUCAGAUGUGAAAGCCCGGGGCUCAACCCCGGAACGGCAUUUGAUACUGCCAGGCUGGAGGACGGAAGAGGAGGGUGGAAUAUCCAGUGUAGAGGUGAAAUUCGUAGAUAUUGGAUGGAACACCGGUGGCGAAAGCGGCUCUCUGGUCCGAACCUGACGCUGAGGCGCGAAAGCGUGGGGAGCAAACAGGAUUAGAUACCCCCGUAGUCC
rnacentral:rRNA from 1 species